AUUGAACGCUAGCGGGAUGCCUUACACAUGCAAGUCGAACGGCAGCAUAAGAGAGCUUGCUCUCUUGAUGGCGAGUGGCGAACGGGUGAGUAAUGUAUCGGAACGUGCCCAGUAGCGGGGGAUAACUACGCGAAAGCGUAGCUAAUACCGCAUACGCCCUACGGGGAAAGCAGGGGAUCGCAAGACCUUGUGCUACUAGAGCGGCCGAUGGCAGAUUAGGUAGUUGGUGGGAUAAAAGCUUACCAAGCCAACGAUCUGUAGCUGGUCUGAGAGGACGAUCAGCCACACUGGGACUGAGACACGGCCCAG
rnacentral:rRNA from 1 species